UCCAGGUGAUGGCCAAGGAUGUAUUUGCAAUAUCAGUAAAUGACAUAUGACUGGGAGGACUUGGAGCUGCAUGUGAAAGAAAAUGAAUAAUCACAUCUGUGCCAUCACAUAUACGAAUCAGAUAAGAAAACUGAGGCUUAACAAUGCUCAGUGGCCUGCAGAGAUUCACAGAGAUUGCACCAAUAUCCCUCAUUGACUUAUACGUGCUGGUUAGUUUUUAUAUUGGAAUAUAUCUCACCACACACAGGA